ACUCAGAUUUUUACCAUAUUUUUAGCAUUGGAAUUAUUUGAGUCUUAAAUCGAAAGAAAAGGAAAUCUAGAAUCUAGUUAAAUUUUAGUAAAUGACCUUUAAUAAAUGAGCUAUUGGAGUCUUAUAUGAAAAGAAAUGUGGGUGUUAUGGAGCAAACCAUUUAACUUUACAUUGCAGAGAAAAAAGUCAGGUCAAACCUAACCUAAGUACAACCUAAAAUGAUUCAAAUAUAAGUAACUCCUUUUACAAAAAUGUUCAUUUACCUUCUGACAACUUAAAUUUAAGGAUGUAUUCUUCUGACUUUUCAGUCUCGUUGAAAUCUCGUUUUAGAAUUAUUUCCAAAACAUGUGAUAGUAG
rnacentral:lncRNA from 1 species